rnacentral:lncRNA from 1 species
CCCUCGAUCGUCUAUUUGUUUGCCUGUUAGAUGGUUGAUUCAGCUUACCGUAACUGAAAUCCAUAUCUUUUAACAUGAAUAAGAUUUCAGAUCCAAUGGUCUGCUCAGGAGCUUUUUUCAACUCUUUAGUACCGUCAAAUAAAGCCUUCUGAAAUCUAUAUCUAUGAUUUUCAUCUAACCACCGACGAUGCCCCAUAUAGCAGAACUUCUUCCCAUUAUAUAACCACUGUGAACACGUUUGAGCAGCACAACAAGGACAAGCAUAACGUCCUUUGGUACUCCAACCAGAUAAAUUCGCAUAUGCCGAGAAAUCAUUAAUUGUC